AAGAGUGAACUAGCUAACUGAAAUCACAAGCAAUUUAAAUGUUAAUUGUGAUAAGGUAAGGGAAAAAACUGAUGUUACCUUACUAUAAGUGUUGUCCAAAACUGGUGCCAGAAGACUCGGUAAGACCAGAAACGCAAACGUUAAUCGUCCUAAUCAGGCGUAAAGGGUUCGUAGGCUGCUUUUAACGAUUUUUAUUUAAAAAAGCUCUUAUUUUUUAUUAAAUUAAAUUACAAAUUAAAAGCAAAAUUACAAAUACAAAAUACAAAUUACAAAUUUACCAAAUAAAAAUCAAAUAAGUAAAACAAAAAUAAUAAUAAAAGCUAGAAUCAAAUUUAGGAUAUGAAAAAUGCUUAGAGUAGGGAUGGUAUCCAUAGAUACUAAGUGGAAUACUAAAGGCGAAAGCUUCUAUCUAAUAAUGAUUGACGCUGAGGAACGAAGGUGAGAAAAGGAAAUAGGAUUAGGUACCCAGAUACCUCUCACUGUCAACGAUGAAUGGUAGUUAGUCAGUUUUAAAACAAAUUGGUAACGAUGUUAACGCGAUAACCAUUCCGCCUUGCGAGUACGGUUGCAAAACUGAAACCAAAAAAAUUAGUCGUUCUCGAAGCAAACGAAGUGGAGCAUGUUAUUUAAUU
rnacentral:rRNA from 1 species